rnacentral:pre_miRNA from 1 species
AAAAAAUGCAAAUCAUGGGUUCCCGUGCCAACAUUUGACUGUCCGUCUUAUAUGAAAUUUUUUUAUAAUUAGUAUUUUCAUUGUUGUUAGAUGAUAAAACAUGAUUAAUACUUUAUACGUGACUUAUCUUUUUAAUUUUUUUCAUAAUUUUUUUAAAUAAGACGAAGGGAUUGUCUUUUUUUGGGUCGGAGGG